rnacentral:rRNA from 1 species
CGCUGGCGGCGUGCUUAACACAUGCAAGUCGAACGGUAAGGCCCUUCGGGGUACACGAGUGGCGAACGGGUGAGUAACACGUGGGUGAUCUGCCCUGCACUUCGGGAUAAGCCUGGGAAACUGGGUCUAAUACCGGAUAGGACCAUGGACUUCACGGUUUGUGGUGGAAAGCUUCUGCGGUGUGGGAUGGGCCCGCGGCCUAUCAGCUUGUUGGUGGGGUAAUGGCCUACCAAGGCGACGACGGGUAGCCGGCCUGAGAGGGUGUCCGGCCACACUGGGACUGAGAUACGGCCCAGACUCCUACGGGAGGCAGCAGUGGGGAAUAUUGCACAAUGGGCGCAAGCCUGAUGCAGCGACGCCGCGUGAGGGAUGACGGCCUUCGGGUUGUAAACCUCUUUCAAUAGGGACGAAGCGCAAGUGACGGUACCUAUAGAAGAAGCACCGGCCAACUACGUG